CUAUUUCCCCAUCUCUCUCUUGCUUGGUCGCCUCCUUCCCGGUUCCCUUCAAAUCGUCUAUGCCAACCCUAUAAAUUUGAAGCUACUCUAGCCAGUCACCAUCCACGGCAGAUGUCAAAGCGCUACUCAUCGUCGGCCAACCUACCCAAGCCAUAAGUACCAAAACUCGAACCAGGGUCAUGAAAAGAGUGAAAAAUGACGACAAGUUGGAGUUCCCUGAAACCACAAUCAUGGGGUUGGAGAAUCAUAACAAAAGGGCAUGGGUUGAAAGAAUGUCUGAGGUUGAUGUCAAGGACAGGGGACCAGCAGUGAGUGUGAUCAGCUGCAACAUAUCUGCAGCAACAUCACUUUCUUCAAUCUCCCUUGUUCUCAGUUCCUUGAUUGGUGCAUGAAUUGGGAGUUCCUCUGUAAACAUCUUCAGAAGCAGUUUUGUUUAUGGAAGCAUAGACUCAUCUAUUGUUUCCAUCAAAUAUAUAGCUCCUCUCUCCUGCUUCCUGGUUGCUUUUGUUUUGUUUUUUCAGACAGCAAGGUAUUUAGUUCAUGCCAAUUUCCUCAUAAGCAUGCCAAAUAGUGAUAUCCCAGUAAGAAUGUAUUUGGUGGGAUGUAUCUUGAUGGUUUUCUUUCCGUAAUGUUUCUAACUUUUCUCCUUGUGUGGUGUUCAAGCUUUUCCAACACAUUUGCCAUUUUAAUUUUUUUAGUAAAUAGUUGAAUA